CAAAUCGCGUUCAUUUUGAUCCCAGUCGAAAAUGGGCUCUCUCAAACCAGACCACAUCUCUCUCUAGAACCUCGCUCCGAAACGCUCUAAAACUCGCUCCUCCGAAUCCAGCUAGGGGGAAGGGAAGCUUCGGCUCCUUCCUCUUCCUCUCCUCGCCGGCCCUUCGUCUCCGCUGGUUUGGUUUGUGGUGUUCGUCUCCAUUUUCGUGGGGGUCCAGAUCUUACAAACAGAUGUGCCUCCAAAACAAGAACAGUGAUAGAUCUCCCAAAAGAUUGUCAUGGGGAUGAUUUGCAGGAUGGAGAUGGACCUAUAUGAGACAGUUCUGGAGAUGAGUUGAAUGAUUGUCUUGAGAACUGUUGCAAAGGCCUUAAGACGUGCUGCUGAGGGAAAGGCUUCUGCUCAAGCUGAGGCAGCAUGGAAUAUGCUGGAGUUUAAAGGUUUUUCUAAUGUUGAACAAUAGCAGCAUUAAUUUAUGUAUACUUUUUAUGUUAUUUUAAGUAUGUGGAAGAACGGGUCUUUAAUAGUAGGAAAUAUAAAUUGACCUCAACUUAAAUAAGCCUAAUCCCGAAUACUUUGGAGAUGGUUAUUGCUAUCCUUUUCCAUGAUUUAGUUCUUCUAUUCAAGGCCAGGCAGUUCUUUGGUACAUACUUCCACCAUGACCCUACAGCUCCACAGAAACUUUUUUUUGAACUCUUUCUUUUCUUUGUAAAUAGUUUACUAAUACUAUAUCACUUCCUCUCUGUCAUAGAUAUUGGUCUUCAUUGUACUUUCAUCAUAGUUUGCUUUAUUUAUUUAUACUUUCGUCAUAUUAUAGUACUUGUUACUUAUAAUAUAUAUUUGCAUGACUUCAACCAAAUUAAGUUCGAUCAUAGCUUUAAAAUAAUUAAUGGUGAUUAAUUAAUGGAAGGAUUACUUAGCCCCUUUUCUGCAAAAAGUCAAAGACGUAUGCAUGCCAGAUCCAUUUGCUUUAAUUUGGUCUUACUAAAUGAAAUUUUGAUUGAUUAUUGAUCUUGGUUGAACUUGAUAGCUCUGCCAUCUUAUGAAACUUGAGCCUGAUCAGUUACUAACCAUUUAGUCUUGUAGUUUCGUUGUUUCAGUUUAGUGGUGUUGAGUUUAUGAUGCUUAUUUAAUUAAUUUUGAUUCACAAGUGGUCUGUGCAGCAAUCCGGUGAUUCCUUUAAUUACAUUGGAGCUUAGUAGGAAGGGCAAAUAACUAUAUAUUGUGGCAAGUGAAUACGUAUUUUCUAUUCCUGUGAGAGCUUAUCAAACAUUUACAUCUAUUAGAGUUUUUACUUUGUAGGUGUGAUACAUUGAUGCUAGGAAUGGGGAUCUUAAUAUUUAAUCAUGUAAAUGAAAAUUUUAGAUUUACUAUUUGUAGUUGCAUGUGUGCAUCUUAAUGUGUAAUUGUUUCUUCUGUGGACCUUCGCUUCUUUUUCUUCUUCUUUUUUCUUUGUAAAGAAACCUGCACAAUCAUAAUAUGAUUGUGAAGCAUUUGUCAAAGGGUUCAAGAGUUUGAAACUCCAUGAAAAAUAAUUUAUAAACUGUGUAUUAGUUGACUAUGAUACAUAAAAAUGAAAAUGUCGGACCAAAACUUUUUCUAGGUUUUUGUGUUUAUAAAAUCCACACCCCCCCCUCCCCCAAAAAAAAAAAAAAACAAAUUGAAGGAUGUCCUGUUUCUUUUUUUCCCCUUGAUGAAUGAUGGUGAGGCUAAAAACAACAUUAUUUUGGUUUCAUCUUUAGUUCCUGCAUGGUUAUUCAUGUGAGUUAAUACCAUCCAGAUUUGGUAAAAAAAUAAAGAGUAAAAGCACGACUGGCAAGACAAAAGAAUCUAAGAAAAAGAGUUGGUUUUCGGUACUACAGUUGAUAAUGCUUUUUCCCCUUUAUCUAGAUCACUUGUAACUUUAUCAUGCAGUGAUGGAUGUAAUUAUCUGUUUCAAACUACACUUACAAUUUCCUUUAUAUAUGCUAAUAUAUUUUAUGUAUAUAACUAGAAUUAAGUGCACGUGUCUUAUUGCUGGAUAAUUUUUGUUGAUAUAUUGUUUUUACAAUUCUUAACUCUUUCAUUGUUAUGAUCUAAAAUUUUGACAGGCUGAUGUUUCAUGGAGAUCUUGUGAACUUGAUUUCUUACCUCUUGCCAUGAUUUUGUUGGAAGUUGGGACUCACAUCUUUAACCUUCUUGUACUGUUAUGACAUUUGCAGAAACUUGGACGAAGUUCAGAUCGUGAAGUUUUGUAUUGGAGAAGCCACUUUAAAGCAUGUUGUUAUGAUUAUUAUUAUUGUUAAUCUGCGUGCUCUUGUAGGACUCUUUCUGUGCUGGUUUCUUAUUACUUUCUAGAGAAUGCCUGUUUUUCCAUUUUUCUUUCUUUCUAUCAGCUAUUUGAACUUUUUGCAGUAUUAUGUCACUGCUUUUUUUGGUUAACAUUUUCAUUUGACUUUUUGGGUUCCUAAGUUUUUAUGGCUUGCUCAAUUC